rnacentral:rRNA from 1 species
UACGAAGGGUGCAAGCGUUACUCGGAAUUACUGGGCGUAAAGCGUGCGUAGGCGGUUUGUUAAGUCCGCUGUGAAAGCCCUGGGCUCAACCUGGGAAUUGCAGUGGAUACUGGCAAGCUAGAGUGCGGUAGAGGAUGGUGGAAUUCCCGGUGUAGCGGUGAAAUGCGUAGAGAUCGGGAGGAACACCCGUGGCGAAGGCGGCCAUCUGGACCAGCACUGACGCUGAGGAACGAAAGCGUGGGGAGCGAACAGG